rnacentral:rRNA from 1 species
CAAUAGCGUAUAUUUAAGUUGUUGCAGUUAAAAAGCUCGUAGUUGGAUUUCGGGUGGGUUCCAGCGGUCUGCCUCUGGUAUGUACUGCUGUGGCCUACCUUUCUGCCGGGGACGUGUUCCUGGGCUUCAUUGUCCGGGACUCGAAUUCGGCGAGGAUACUUUGAGUAAAACAGCGUGUUCAAAGCAAGCCUACGCUCUGAAUGCAUUAGCAUGGAAUAUCACGAUAGGACUCUGGCCUAUCUUGUUGGUCUGUAGGACCGGAGUAAUGAUUAAGAGGGACAGUCGGGGGCAUUCGUAUUUCAUUGUCAGAGGUGAAAUUCUUGGAUUUAUGAAAGACGAACUUCUGCGAAAGCAUUUGCCAAGGAUGUUUUCAUUAAUCAAGAACGAAAGUUGGGGGCUCGAAGACGAUUAGAUACCGUCGUAGUCUCAACCAUAAACGAUGCCGACUAGGGAUUGGCAGGUGUUUUAUUGAUGACCCUGCCAGCACCUUAUGAGAAAUCAAAGUUUUUGGGUUCCGGGGG